GACGGCUCCCGCGCACGGCCAAUCCGCGAAGCCGCGCCUGCGCACGAGAGUCCGCGGGAGGAGUCAGGGGGCGGGGAAAUGGACGAAGCCGCCAGAGACAGCGCCUCCUGCUGUCUAAACGAAAGCUACGCCUUUGUCGGCCAAGAGCACCUGAGAUUUAUGCAAUGAGACCCAGAGAUGUCUGGGCUUUCCUAAAGUAGUGCAGUACGCCAGCAGUCUCAACUGUAAGAAGUGCCAUGAUGAUUCUUCCAAAAGAAUGUUCCGAUUUAUUUUGAGGAGUGCUGUCAACACAUUUGUCACCACCAUCCAUGUUAGGAGGGCAGAGGUGGCUUCUCUUACCACAUUUGAACAGAGAAAAGAUGCUUCUUGGGCCUACAGUUCCACUGGAGAAUGGCUGAAGACUGUGGAAAGCAAAGGAAGUACCCUGCCAGGUGGUGAGGUACAAGAGGGAAGCUGCCUCCUGCCCCCGCCCCCAGGGAA